CUCCUCAUGGCGUAGUGGUUCACGCGCCCCCACUAGAGAUCGGGGGGUCGUGAGUUCGAUUCUCAUGGAGGGGA
rnacentral:tRNA from 1 species